UACGAAGGGAGCUAGCGUUGUUCGGAAUCACUGGGCGUAAAGCGCACGUAGGCGGAUUUGUCAGUCAGGGGUGAAAUCCCGGGGCUCAACCUCGGAACUGCCUUUGAUACAGCAAGUCUUGAGUUCGAGAGAGGUGGGUGGAAUUCCUAGUGUAGAGGUGAAAUUCGUAGAUAUUAGGAAGAACACCGGUGGCGAAGGCGGCCCACUGGCCCGA
rnacentral:rRNA from 1 species